UACGUAGGUGGCAAGCGUUUCCGGAUUUACUGGGCGUAAAGAGCGCGCAGGCGGUCGUUCAAGCCGCGUGUGAAAGCCCCCGGCUCAACUGGGGAGGGUCACGCGAUACUGAUCGACUCGAAGGCAGGAGAGGGUAGUGGAAUUCCCGGUGUAGUGGUGAAAUGCGUAGAUAUCGGGAGGAACACCAGUGGCGAAGGCGACUACCUGGCCUGUUCUUGACGCUGAGGCGCGAAAGCUAGGGGAGCAAACGGG
rnacentral:rRNA from 1 species